AAAAUACGAGUAGGUUGAACAGGUAACCUACUGGCGAAAACUGGCAGAAAUGCGGGUGACUAUGCCUCGUCUCCUACUAGAUCCAACCCGAACUCUGCAGACUGGGCAAUUUAAAACGAAGGGCCCAGGGGAAAACAUUUAAUAACGUUAGAGUGAGUGGACAAAAAUAAAUUAAUAAUUAAAAUAUUUAUGUUUCCCCAAAUUAAUUUCUAAGGAAAAAUCGAAUGCAUGCCGCAAGCGAUAAAACCUUUAUCCCAUAAAAUAUCGAGCCUCUCAGACUCUAUAAUAUAUGUAUGUAUUUACACUCGUCCAUACUCCCUAUAUAAAUUCAUGGGUCUAUAUAGGGCUACUACGCUCGCGUCCAACGCUCACGUCACGCCUUAAUGCGGUGCUACACUACGCCAUCAAGGUGGACAUACGGGUGUAUAAAUAUGUGCCCAUACCCCCUAUAUGAAUUAAACACUCAUAUAGGGCUACUACGCUUACGUCCAACGCUCACGUCACACCAUAAUGCGGCUAUAUGCUACGCCAUUAAGGUGGACAGACACAUAUGGCUAGCUAGCAUUUUUUAUACAUACUCUCUCAUAUAUACAUAUUUAUAUUCACCGAAAAUCUCAUUUUCGGUAACUCUCUCUCAGAGAAAUAAAAGCGUCAAAAUUAAUUGACGGCAAAAUACUCCACGACAUUAAUUAUUCAAUCGUGAACUUAGCAUGUAUUUAUUUAAAACAAAAGUCCACUCACGAAUUAGGCCUAAGCCUGAUGUCAAUCUGGGGUCUCGUCUGCUCGAGCCUCUUCACGUCCUGUUCCAAAUAUAAUAUUAAUUUCCCAACCAAUAAUCCAAUAUUUAAUCAAAAUAGGCAAAAUUACCCGAGAGCCAUAAUUACGCUCAUCAUUGCCUUACUUCGAUAUUCUUACAUCGGAACAAUCCGAACUUAAAUAUCAUACUCAACAGUCGUAAAUACAACCUCCCCAAAAUACGACUUAAAUCCUACGGCCGGAUUCUACAUUAAUUAACCGCCAAAAAUACCAAACUUCGGAAAUUCACAAACCUAUCCAAAUCUCAUCCAAAAAUUCCAUAAUUCACUUCAAUAAUAUCCCCUUAAUGUUCUACAUCAAAAACCAUAAAAAUCUCCUAACCGGCGGCGGCCGGAGGUCAAUUCCGGCGACCUCCAAAACCUAUGAAAUUUUAACAGCAUCUUCCUCUCAUCAAGCUCUACAACUUUCAUAACUAGCACAAAC
rnacentral:lncRNA from 1 species